CGACCGCUGGCGGCGUGCUUAACACAUGCAAGUCGAACGGAAAGGCCCUGCUUGCAGGGUACUCGAGUGGCGAACGGGUGAGUAACACGUGGGUGAUCUGCCCUGCACUUCGGGAUAAGCUUGGGAAACUGGGUCUAAUACCGGAUAGGAGCCAUCUUUAGUGUGGUGGUUGGAAAGUUUUUUCGGUGUAGGAUGAGCUCGCGGCCUAUCAGCUUGUUGGUGGGGUAAUGGCCUACCAAGGCGGCGACGGGUAGCCGGCCUGAGAGGGUGUACGGCCACAUUGGGACUGAGAUACGGCCCAGACUCCUACGGGAGGCAGCAGUGGGGAAUAUUGCACAAUGGGCGCAAGCCUGAUGCAGCGACGCCGCGUGGGGGAUGAAGGCCUUCGGGUUGUAAACUCCUUUCGCUAGGGACGAAGCUUUUUUGUGACGGUACCUAGAUAAGAAGCACCGGCUAACUACGUG
rnacentral:rRNA from 1 species